rnacentral:lncRNA from 1 species
UCUAGGAACUGUUUGAUGGUGUAGAUCUCUAAGGUAUCAGAUUGUUUCAAGUUGAGGAAGGCAUGGAAGGCAUGAGUUGACGUCAUUUUCUCAGGGUGAUGAACAUCAGGAUCAUAACGUUUUUGAGACUUUAACUCUUAGUUUCCACUGCAAAUUACAAUACUAAGGUGUAGAUUGUGUGAAGAUUCUGUCUCAGUGGAAUGAACCUGAUACUUGUGGAUAUUAAGAUUGUUUCAGAGGUUGUAGCUUGUUUAACAUAAGCAUGGAAGAGUGAAGCGAAGAAGAUCAACAUUGCAACAUCAAAGGAGGGAAGCGUAUUUUUUUUACGGGAUUGAAAAAUUGCAGAAAUCAGUUACGAGAUAGGAUCUUCGAGACAACGAUUGGAGUCCUAAAAGUAAUCUGAUCGAGCUGAAACUUGGUAGUGAGCUUCUUGCUAUUACUGUCUUGAGUGUCAACGGUGGGAUUAAUUUUUUGACGGUUGGAUUGCGUUUUAUUCGACCGUAUUCAAUCUGUUCCGGGCACAUGUCAACUGAAGUUUCAGAUCUGACCAGUUAUAGUGGAGACAUCAAAUGGUCGACCAAUUAAACUUGGAAUGAAAUGAAAAUUUGCAAAGAUAUUCUAGACUUACGGAGCUAGAUUCUGGUAGGAGGGCAUUGGAUUCGGAGUCCGAGGACAGAGUAGAAUGAUGGCGGUUCAGAGUAGUUAUUUCGGAGACUCUAAAGCUGUGUCUUGCAAAGGUGACUUGCAAAUGAUUCUAGAAGAGAUUGUUUCAGCUUACUGUGCCAAAGAAGUGAAUUAACAAGUUACUGUAAGUCCUUGUUCGGCAGUUUACUCUUGGGAAGUCUUCAGCUUCUGUGUAUUUUAGAAUUAUGGACAACUUGCUAGGAGUCUACUCUUUGUUAAGGCUCUAGGAUUCUAGAGAAGAAUUGUUGGUGAAUGUGGAAAUAUAACAAAGGAGUUUCAGGAAUCUGCAGUUUUCUUGUUUUCAAGUUGAAGAUUUUUGGAAUGAAGCUUAUGAAGUGUCAAGAAAGAGAAUCUUUCCAUUAUAAGUGACAGAGCACAAAAUUUAUGAAGCCCUCAUUUGAUUUAAAAGAAUCACAUGGCUGACGGAGUUAGGCUUUCAUCAUCAAAGCGAUAACAUGGCUUCAUUGUCUGAGUUUGAUC